CUCAAGAGGCUCCGCCCGCCGGGCUCCAUUGGCGGGGCAGCCGCAAGGAGGAGGGAUUCGCGGCCUUGCAGACGCCGGUGGAGGAAGAGGCGGCCUCCUGACGCGCUUCCUUUGCCCAGGAAAACCGCCCAUGAAGAGCUAUCUAUAUACAAAAGAACAAAAGUUGGUUUACCUUCGAUGCUCUGAAGCCAUCCAGAAGAAGCGAUUCAAAGGAAACCCCACCACGUUCAAGAAGUCUCCGUGAACAUAUUCCACUAACAUUCCUCCAAGUGCCUGGAUCCCAUAGCCACCAGCUUUGUCCCUAGAGAGAAAGUU